CUCAACCAAUAGUGCGGAAUCAGUCUGGAAUUCUAAAUGAGGAAAAAAUCUUGUAUCGUUCGGAUCACCAAUUGCGCCAGUGUGUUGCAUAAUGUCUUACAUAAGAGAACAAGCACAACGCCAUUUGAUAGUGAAUUUAUUGCACUGCUUUCAGCGAUGAGUCUUUGCUGAGCAUAUCAGUAACGGAAUAAAUGAAGUCGUUCGGAAAUCACUGAGAAUUGACUCAAGCCAACCUAAUAAAGUGAAGCCCCGGUGGAUUAAGGAGAAAGCCGGGACUAGAGUGAUAGGUUUAAUUUUUGUUUGACUCAUUUAAGAUAUAUUUACAUAGGUUUUAUACAUUUAUAGUAAUGCAUGAUUCACAAAACCAAGACUUGCUGUGUCUCCCAUGUAUAUAUAUUUUCUUUAGCAAACGGAAAAUAUUUUUUUUUUAUUUUAAACAAUACAUUUAAUUAUUUCCUUCAUUUCCUGAUUGCGUCUUUGUGAAUAAUUCUGUUGAGAUUUAUUUGUGUGAAUUGAUUUUCGAUUUAAUUAAAUUCGCAGACUUUUCACACUUCAAUUUGGGUUUAAUCACCCGGUUAGCACACAAAAAGCGAUUCGAUUGGGUUGCAAUUAACACACCAUUUAAAGAGAAAUUGUUGCAAACAAACAAAAAAAAAACCUUGCAAAAAAAUCUAGAUAUUUCCCAAAGUGAAGUAUUUUGAUAUCACCUUGAUCCAAUAUUUUAUUCAUUCGUAAUCACAAUGAUAGCGAAAGAUGGAGCAGAGAAACAUCGAAUAGUUCACACUUCCAUUCGAGUUCGCAAUUAUGAUUCAUUCGGAGAGCGCUGCACAUGCUCUUAAAUUCGAUUCGUGGACAAAAAUCGGACAAGCGUGAGAUGGUCAGGGCCGUUAAACUGGAAAGGCUGCCCCCACUGGUAAGCGAUCUUGGUAGGCCUGUUUUGUUCAGUCCCCACUGCCUCACUACUGUGCCGAGGUCUUCAGCCCCGAGUGGCUGUGAGUCAGUUGGUUGUCCAGUUGGUUGGCUCCAACUGCCAUAUUUAGUUUGCCCCGUAUGCGUGUCAUUUGCAUGUAACGUGCGGCUUUUGUGAACGGCAACUGGGGAAAGGACGGAUGGUGGGCUCGAGUGAUUGGAAAUUUUAAGCUUUAAAUAGUUUAUGUUUUGUUUUCGGACUUUCAAUAUUUUGAAAUUAUUUGGCAUAGCAGUUAACGAAUUUAUGCAUCACUUAUAGUGAGAAAAAAUUAUAGAAAACAUUUUAGGAAAUACAUUUUUUAUUGUGAGCCUGAUUCUGAACAGCCUUACCAUGAAAGUGAUUCUAAUCACUUUGACUAUAUAGCAAAACUAUAGAAACGACUGGUCUAAUCUCCGAUUUAUUUAAAAUAAAUUUUUGUACAUUCCCCAACAUUCAACCACUAUUUGUCUACCCGAUUUUUACCACUGUGCAAGACACGUUUUGCGAACAACAGCGACAAACAACAAAAUCGCUUUGGUUUAUGACAAUUGUGCAAAGAGCGUCAAAGAGAAUAGGGAAAUGCAAAUAUAAUUAGCAACAACAAUGUGUAAGUUCAUUGGUCAGCAUACAUGAAAGAAAAAAAAAGAUUUUUACAUAAAAAGAAGAAAACAAACACAGUUUGUUUAUUUUGGGUUUGUUUUGGCUAGCGACUUGAACAAGGGGAAGCCAACUGAAGCUGAGAUGAAGAUAAAACCCGGAAA